AGUCGUGAAGACGACGUAUAGGGAGUGACACGUGACCAAUGCGGAAAGAUUAAGGUGACUUGUUAGCACUUGAUGCGAAGCUCGGAGCCCAAGUCCCCGUGAAUGUCGGCCGUAACUAUAACGGUCCUAAGGUAGCGAAAUUCCUUGUCGGGUAAGUUCCGACCUGCACGAAUCGUGCAACGACCGGUCCGCUGUCUCGGAGAGAAUCUCGGCGAAGUUGUAAUUGCGGUGAAGAUGCCGCAUACCCGCAGUAGGACGGAAAGACCCUGUGCACCUUUACUGUAAGCAAGUAUUGUGUUUUGAUUAGUGAUACGUAGAGUAGGUGGGAGACUUUGAAGUGAUGGCUUAGGUUGUCAUGGAGUCGCAAUGUGAAACACCACUUUUUAUUGAUUAGGAUUCUAACAAUGAUUCCUCUGAAGCGAGGCAUUGGACAGUGCUUGCGGGUCAGUUUGACUGGGGCGGUUUCCUCCCAAAGAGUAACGGAGGAGCACUAAGGUACCUUCAGCAUGGUUAGUAACCAUGCGUCGAGCGUAUGCGUAGAAGGGUGCUUGACUGUGAGACCUACAAGUCGAGCAGGUACGAAAGUAGGUGCAAAUGAUCCGGUGGUAGAAUGUGGAAUUGCCAUCGCUCAACGGACAAAAGGUACGCCAGGGAUAACAGGCUGAUCGCGCCCAAGAGUUCAUAUCGACGGCGCGGUUUGGCACCUCGAUGUCGGCUCGUCACAUCCUGGGGCUGGAGAAGGUCCCAAGGGUUCGGCUGUUCGCCGAUUAAAGUGGCACGCGAGCUGGGUUCAGAACGUCGUGAGACAGUUCGGUCCUUAUCCACUGUGGGCGCAGGAAACUUGAGGGGUUCAAUCCCCAGUACGAGAGGACCGGGAUUGACGUACCUAUGGUGUGGCAGUUGUUCCAUCAGGGGCAGCGCUGCGUAGCCAAGUACGGAAGAGAUAAGCGCUGAAAGCAUCUAAGUGCCAAGCUCAUUCCAAGAUGAAGUUUCCCACUCCUCGUGAGUGUAAGACCCCCGGAAGACUACCGGGUUGAUAGGCCAGGAGUGUAAGUGUGGCAACACAUUCAGCUGACUGGUACUAAUCGGUCGAGGGCUUGAUUAC
rnacentral:rRNA from 1 species